CGGGGAGCGUUCGCGCUUCCGCCGGCGACCGGCGCACGGGUGAGUAACACGUAUGGAACCUGCCGCAGCAGGGGGAUAAUCGGGGGAAACCCCGUCUAAUACCGCGUAACGACCCGGAGGGGCAUCCCUUCGGGUCCAAAGGUUUACCGGCUGCGGAUGGCCAUGCGUCGCAUUAGCUGGUUGGCGGGGUAACGGCCCACCAAGGCGACGAUGCGUAGGGGUUCUGAGAGGAAGGUCCCCCACACUGGUACUGAGACACGGACCAGACUCCUACGGGAGGCAGCAG
rnacentral:rRNA from 1 species